AACGAACGCUGGCGGCGCGCCUAAUACAUGCAAGUCGAGCGAGAAGACGUAGCAAUACGUUUGUAAGCGGCGAACGGGUGAGGAAUACAUGGGUAACCUACCCUCGAGUGGGGAAUAACUAGCCGAAAGGUUAGCUAAUACCGCGUACGCUCCUUGGACUUCGGUUCAGGGAGGAAAGCGAUACCGUGGGUAUCGCGCUCUUGGAUGGGCUCAUGUCCUAUCAGCUUGUUGGUGAGGUAACGGCUCACCAAGGCUUCGACGGGUAGCUGGUCUGAGAGGACGAUCAGCCACACUGGCACUGCGACACGGGCCAGACUCCUACGGGAGGCAGCAGUAAGGAAUAUUGCGCAAUGGGCAAAGCCUGACGCAGCGACGCCGCGUGGGGGA
rnacentral:rRNA from 1 species